UUGACCUCGAUCAGGUAGUCAU
rnacentral:rRNA from 1 species